ensembl:ncRNA lncRNA:CR33963 long non-coding RNA:CR33963
GUUGUCUGACGGACGUGCUGCGUCUAUUUUGUUGUGUUUUUUUGCGAACGAGCGAAGAGCGACAGGACCUCUGCGCCCGUAUUCAAAGUAAUAAGCGAUUCGAUAGCCAAAUUAAAAUUGUGUGCUUGUUUCUCGUGUAUCUUGUGGUGUUUGUGCGAUCCAAAUCGAGUGGUCAACUUACAUUCCCUUUCAUCCUUUUCGUGGUUUAUUUUUUUUUGCAAGUGCCGGAAAAAUUCGAAUUGGUUGUUCAUCAAUAUACAACAGUUAACUGUAUAGUAAAGUAAGAAAUGGUCCACUGUUGUCGUUGUUUUUAAAAGGUGUAAAGUAAGAGUAAAUGAAUAUAAAAGGCGCAACGAGAAUUUCUUGAAUCAUGUUCAAAUAAGCAUAAGCAAGCAUUCGAUUAAUUUACAUGCGCGCAUGUGUGCAAUCCCAAGGACUUUGGGAACAAGAAGAACCGCGCGCACAAGGAGCAUGCGAAGCAACAGGGAAAAAUCAUAAACGACAGAAAUUGCUGCCCUUUUAUUUGAUUUUUGUGUUAUGUUUUUUUUUUUGAUGAUUUUGAGUUCGCUGUCGCAGCAAUAAUAUAAGAAUUACAAACACACAGACGCAAGUGAUAUACGACCACCACUAGAGAUCGCACACACACACGCAACACUUAGGCACACAUAGGGAGAUAGAGUGAGAGAAGGAGGAAAGGAAGGACGGAAAGGAAGGGACGAAGCGCAAGCUUAUCUUUUCGCUUUUCGAGAACGCGAACGAAGACGAUAAAAGCAAAGCAAACAACGCACACACGUAAAUAAAACAGACAUCGGCUGUUUAACAAACACACACAUGUGUAUAUCAAAAAAGGGACAAAGCAAAGCGAAGAAUAUCAGCCUUUGGUUCUUCUUUCCUUUGCACAUGUGCCUGGAAAAUAUCCUUACGAACACACUCCCAUACGCAUACGCAUACGAACGACAAGCACGUGAAAUUUUUGUUCCCUUGCUCUUUGCCCUUCUCUCUUCUGCCCUCGUGCAUCGCUCUCUCACUUCCAUUAUUCGUCGCUAAUCAAACGCUCUCUUCACUCUUUUAGCUGAUUUUUUUUUAUUGUUGCAAUGCAAUAUUCGCGGAACGAAUAACAACAACAUACAUAACUCAAUAUUCAAGUGCAAAGCAAAUACAAAUCAAACAC